UGGGCCUACGGGAGGCAGCAGUGGGGAAUAUUGCACAAUGGGGGAAACCCUGAUGCAGCAACGCCGCGUGAGUGAAGAAGGUUUUCGGAUUGUAAAGUUUUGUUAGCAGGGAAGAGGAAGGACGGUACCUGCAGAGGAAGCCACGGCUAACUACGUGCAAGCAGCCGCGGUAAUACGUAGGGGGCAAGCGUUGUUCGGAAUAACUGGGCGUAAAGGAUGCGUAGCAGGUUAA
rnacentral:rRNA from 1 species